UUAGGGUAAGUGGUGUCAGAUCAGGGGAGGGGAGGGGUGAGGAGGUGGGGGAAGAAGGAGGCGGCCGGCGAGGCGGCUUAGGUUGGGUCUAGGACAACUAAAAGGGACUUAACUAGGCGAGCUUAGGAUGGUUCGGCCACAACUCUUCGUCAAGAGCACGGGAAACCACUCGCCGUUACCGCCGCCGUCCCUCUGACGCCCCGUCCGCCGCCCGUGUUUUCCUCCACCUCGCGCUCGGGCUCGGCAAGUGGUAGCUCCUCCUCCACAGGGUGGAGUGGGCCCAGGCCAGCCUCGGCACGGGGCCGUGGGCGCGGCGGUAGGUACCGCGGUUCGCCUUCUCCCUGCAGAGCCGGAAGCUCUACGACAGCAGCUCCCUCAGGCCGGCGAGCCCUCCGCCGCCCAAGACAAGCCGGCUGGCGCGGAUGCGGCGGCCCUUCGUGGAGGGCAGCCUUCCUGGGACCACGCACCUUCUGUACCUAUCGCUCCGGAUACAGAGCGUCAAGAGGUCGCUGCCGAGCUACGAGCAACGGCCCAAAGCCCCUUCGGCGUAGUCUUAAAUGCUACAGCUAUUUCCCACCUUCCAAGUAUUCUUGUAUUCGACGUCUUCAUACUCCACCUGCCAAAGUCUAUAACGCGAGAGGGGACUGGUCGCUAUAGAACGGAUAAGGUCAAACAGCGGAUAACAAGUGUAACAAUUACACGUCUUACGACCUUCCCUUAGCCUACGAUUACAAUGACUUUAAGUGCUACCAAACCUUAAGACACUACUGCUACUUAUGAGAAAGCCCUAUAAGAGACACUUUAAAAGCUUUCUACCAUCUCUUCAUCAACAACCCUUGUUACUAACAAGUUAUAUACAGAUACUAGAACCUCGUUUAUUUCACAGUCUGGCAUAGGCACGAGUAUGCAGACUACAGUUGUGCCAGUGGAAACGACUACUUUCACCCUUAAACAACAUGAGACCUUCACUACUAUUAGAGACAUUCCAGACCCUAUCCGCAACGGAACAUUCUCUCUUUGGUCGACCACAAAACUGUCCCGUGAAUCUACCCUAAUGUACAUAACUAUCGGCACCACUACCCGCAAUAGAUUAGAGGUUGACGUUCCUAGUCUGAUAGUUUGAAACCCUACAGUCUUCCUACAGGCGGUGGCAUUUUCCCGCUGUUGGUUCUAAUAUACUGACCCUGAUGUCUACCUACAGCAAGGGUAGUGUGCGAUCUAUAAUAUUCGUAGGUUUACUAGACAGAGACCGUUGUAUGUCCCCAGUAAGUCAAGACGCCUGUGAAUAGGCGACGAUGAAGAGAGGUUACGUGUCGUGCCCGGUCUCCAUGUAUAUGUGACCUAGUUCACUGCUAAGGCACGUAUAAAUGCUACACCAUUGGCCCCGCUGGCAGUUCUUCGAGAGUACCGUGCCAAGCUAGUAGUCUCUGACGUGGACCGUAGGAAUGGCGGGUUGCGAACAUUCGAGAAGGACCCUGCCGAUAGACCGGGCCACCCUCCGUAGUCCGCUGUUGCUCCUGGGGAGCCACGAGUGCACGCUGCUCGUCUCCUGAUCGGGAAUGCUGGUCUGUAUGCCCGAGAGAAAACGGGACAUCAUUCAACGUCUCCUGGACCGCACUGUUCGUCACGACUCCGCUCGAGCACUACUUAGAACUACAACCCAACACCGCCAAAUAGUAACUACACGAAUAUACCGUCAUAUUCGUGUUCGUCAAUACGUAACAUACAGACUCCGUUGAACACGAGGAGAACGACAGUGACUAUCUUUUAUCACUACAUUUGUUCUACAUCGGCAACGAAAACAUUUAAACAAACGUCAACUAGUCCACCACAGUCACUGUUUAAGUAUACAUUGAUACGUUCAAAAAAACAAGAACAACAACUCUCUUAACAUUGAUACGUUCAAUUAUUACGUACACGUAAGACAACGGCAUGUCUUUACAUGAGG
rnacentral:rRNA from 1 species